rnacentral:tRNA from 1 species
GGGGAUGUAGCUCAGUGGCACAGUGCCUGCCUGGCAAGCACAAGGCCCUGAGUUCAAUUCCCAGUACCA